CCCUUAGAUGUCCUGGGCUGCACGCGCGCUACAAUGAAGGUAUCAGUGUGUUUUAUCCUUGGCCGAGAGGUCUGGGUAAACAUUGAACCACCUUCUUGGUUGGGAUUGUGGACUGUAACUGUUCACAUGAACCCGGAAUUCCCAGUAAGUGCGAGUCAUAAGCUUGCAUUGAUUACGUCCCUGCCCUUUGUACACACCGCCCGUCGCUACUACUGAUGAAUUGUUUAGUGAGGUCUCUGGACAUGUACAAGAUGAUACCCUCGUGGUAAUUUCUUUGUUGCGUGGAAGCUGACCGAACUUGAUUAUUUAGAGGAAGUAAAAGUCGUAACA
rnacentral:rRNA from 1 species